rnacentral:rRNA from 1 species
UACGGAAGGCAGCAGUGGGGAAUAUUGCACAAUGGGCGCAAGCCUGAUGCAGCCAUGCCGCGUGUAUGAAAAAGGCCUUCGGGUUGUAAAGUACUUUCAGUCGUGAGGAAGGUGUUAAGGUUAAUAACCUUAGCAAUUGACGUUAGCGACAGAAGAAGCACCGGCUAACUCCGUGCCAGCAGCCGCGGUAAUACGGAGGGUGCGAGCGUUAAUCGGAAUUACUGGGCGUAAAGGGCACGCAGGCGGUUAAUUAAGUUGGAUGUGAAAUCCCCGGGCUUAACCUGGGAAUGGCAUUCAAGCUGGUUAGCUAGAGUCUUGUAGAGGGGGUAGAAUUCCAUGUGUAGCGGUGAAAUGCGUAGAGAUGUGGAGGAAUACCGGUGGCGAAGGCGGCCCCUGGACAAAGACUGACGCUCAUGUGCGAAAGCGUGGGGAGCAAACAGGGAUUAGAUACC